rnacentral:rRNA from 1 species
UACGGGGGGGGCAAGCGUUGUUCGGAAUUACUGGGCGUAAAGGGCGCGUAGGCGGCCUGGGAAGUUCUGGGUGAAAGCCCCCGGCUCAACCGGGGAAGUGCCUGGAAAACCACUGGGCUGGAGUGCUGGAGAGGGAAGCGGAAUUCCUGGUGUAGCGGUGAAAUGCGUAGAGAUCAGGAGGAACAUCGGCGGCGAAGGCGGCUUCCUGGACAGACACUGACGCUGAGGCGCGAAAGCCAGGGGAGCAAAC